rnacentral:misc_RNA from 1 species
GGGCUUUCCCAUCCACAGUAGGGAACUCUCUGUUUCUAAAUGCAAAGGAAGUUCUAUAUAUCUGCAAGGUGUUCUCCAUCAGAUCAUCAUUGAAUGGUAGAUAUUUCGGCUUUCCCUGAGUAGUACCCGAACUCAGUGAUAUGGUCGUUAUGGGCUUUCUGGUGAGAACAGAGGAAGAAUCUCCAUCUGCAAUUCUUUGAAUAUAAGGUUCCAACUCCUUGUGAGUAACAAUGGGAACAUAAUCUCUGAAACUCUCUGGAUCAGUUCGUCCAUUGAGACCCAGAUUCUGCAAGUACUCUGC